UACAGAGGUCUCAAGCGUUGUCCGGAUUCAUUGGGCGUAAAGAGCUCGUAGGCGGUCUGUCGCGUCUGCUGUGAAAACUCAGGGCUUAACCCUGAGCUUGCAGUGGGUACGGGCAGACUAGAGUGCGGUAGGGGAGACUGGAAUUCCUGGUGUAGCGGUGAAAUGCGCAGAUAUCAGGAGGAACACCGGUGGCGAAGGCGGGUCUCUGGGCCGUAACUGACGCUGAGGAGCGAAAGCAUGGGGAGCGAACAGG
rnacentral:rRNA from 1 species